rnacentral:tRNA from 1 species
AAGGGAGACCUAAUUCGGGUAUAAGACGAAAAAAGAGUAGUCGAAACCAAGAAUCAAUCCCAAAAGGUCGGAACGAGGUAUGUGGCUUUCAAACUAGGUUCUGGGUUCACACAAGACCUGAAUCAGGAACAAGGGCUAUUAGCUCAGGUGGUCAGAGCGCACCCCUGAUAAGGGUGAGGUCCCUGGUUCGAGUCCAGGAUGGCCCACCUGCACAGGUGGCAAAAACAAAGAAGCGAGGAAUCAGCACCUUAUCUUAUCUAUAUAUAAGAGAGAAUGCUGGCUCUGAGUAAAGAGUCCAGAGGAACCUUGAAAACUGCAUAGAGCUAGGUGAAAAAGCCAAAAAAGAAGACCGCAA